UCAACUCCUCUUAGUUUUCAAUUUAUUUAGAUUGAGCAAGCGCAAUUGUUUCCGCGUAUCGCUGUGUAUAAAAGACUCUUGGUUGAAAAGUAGUCCAUCGUUCGUUUUGUUGUUAAUAUUACAGCUUAACUAUGAACAAACUCUGUCUGGUGCUGCUGCUCGUGGGUUGUGUCGCCCUGGUCACUAUGCCUGUUGCCGAAGCCCAAGGCUUCCCCGGGCACUACCACGGGUACAACUAUGGAGGCCACCACGAGGGCGGCUGGUGUCAGUGCAGACGCCGCUGUCGUUGGUUCGAGUACGACGCCGGCAGGUGCCAAUGGGGCGGCUGGGGAAGACGCAAUUGCUGCCCGACCCACAGGGGAUAGGUCACGCAGAUUCUUCACAGAGGACUUCAGAAGUACCCUUAGAAGCCCACGGAUUUUACAUCGAUCAAAUAGAAAAAAAGAAAAACUUACAUUGUCUUUUGUAUUCCCUCA